rnacentral:rRNA from 1 species
GACGUAGGGGGCCAGCGUUGUUCGGAAUUACUGGGUGUAAAGGGUUCGUAGGCGGUGUAGCAAGUCGGGUGUGAAAACUCUGGGCUCAACCCAGAGCCUGCAUUCGAUACUGACGGGCUAGAGUUCUGGAGGGGAAAGCGGAAUUCCUGGUGUAGCGGUGAAAUGCGUAGAUAUCUGGAGGAACACCGGUGGCGAAGGCGGCAUCCUGGACCGAGAUUGACGCUGAGGCGCGAAAGCCAGGGGAGCAAACGGG